AGGUACAGCAGAGGGCAGAUGAAUGCAUUAGAGCUCUUGACCUUUUGCUCGAAAUUAAUUAUGGAAAGCCCGAUAAGAACAUUUUGCCUUUAAUUUUCAACUGGAAAUUAUUAAAGAAUUCUAUUUACUUACAGAAGAUAGCAAUAAUGGGACAUUCUUUUGGUGGUGCCACAGUCAUAGAAACGCUUAGCAAAGAUCCACGAUUCAAAUGUGGAGUUGCUCUUGAUGCUUGGAUGCUUCCCCUAUCUGAUGAAGUAUAUCCCAAAGUGCACCAGCCAUUGCUGUUUAUUAACUCAGAAAAAUACCAAUGGGCCUCGAAUAUCCUAGAGAUGAAGAAACUUAACAUGGAAGGCAGAGAAAGAAAAAUGAUAACUAUUAUGUGAG